rnacentral:rRNA from 1 species
UACGUAGGGUGCAAGCGUUGUCCGGAAUUAUUGGGCGUAAAGAGCUCGUAGGCGGUUUGUCGCGUCUGCUGUGAAAACGCGAGGCUCAACCUCGCGCCUGCAGUGGGUACGGGCAGACUAGAGUGUGGUAGGGGAGAUUGGAAUUCCUGGUGUAGCGGUGGAAUGCGCAGAUAUCAGGAGGAACACCGAUGGCGAAGGCAGAUCUCUGGGCCAUUACUGACGCUGAGGAGCGAAAGUGUGGGGAGCGAACAGG